CUGGACUGUGAGGCCAAACAGUGGCGGCUGGCGGCCGAUCUGCUCAAUGACGUCGCCCUGGUCCUGGAGAUCCUGGUGCCCCAUUGGCUGAGCGCUGGCCCCGCCCUCCUGGCGCUGGCGGCAUCGGCCAAGUGCGUGGUGGGCGUGGCCGGCGGGGCCACCCGGGCGGCUCUGGCCGUUCACCAGGCCCGGAGGGACAACGUGGCCGACGUGGCCGCCAAGGACGCCAGUCAGGAGACGCUGGUGAACGGGGCGGGGCUU